ACGGGGGCCGCGGCACGGCGGCAGCGACAGCGAGCGCCGCUGCUCAGCUGUAGUCCACGCCCCCUUCCCGCCCCGGUGACAGUCUCUGCGGAAAGUCGCGUUUGUGAUUUCUGAAGAGCACCCAGCGGGACGACGGCGGUCCUGCCUUGUCGUUCGGGCCAAGCGACGAGGAAACGGUUUCCUGGCGAACUGCCCACCCCACCCCGCGCCCCUAGGCAGCCCGUACCUUUAGGCCUGAAGAUGCUGAGAUCUAUGUGGAAUUUUCUAAAACGUCAUAAAAAGAAAUGCAUCUUCCUGGGCACAGUCCUCGGAGGAGUAUAUAUCCUGGGAAAAUAUGGACAGAAGAAAAUCAGAGAAAUACAAGAAAGAGAAGCUGCAGAGUAUAUUGCUCAAGCACGACGACAGUAUCAUUUUGAAAGUAACCAGAGGACUUGCAAUAUGACAGUGCUGUCCAUGCUUCCGACCCUGAGAGAGGCCUUAAUGCAACAACUCAAUUCUGAGAGCCUAACCGCUCUGCUAAAAAACAGGCCUUCAAACAAGUUGGAAAUAUGGGAGGAUCUGAAGAUAAUAAGUUUCACAAGAAGUAUUGUAGCAGUAUACAGUACUUGUAUGCUGGUGGUUCUUUUGCGAGUCCAGUUAAACAUAAUUGGUGGAUAUAUUUACCUGGAUAAUGCAGCAGUUGGCAAAAAUGGCACGACAGUUCUUGCUCCUCCAGAUGUCCAACAGCAAUAUUUAUCAAGUAUUCAGCACCUCCUUGGAGAUGGCCUGACAGAAUUGAUCACAGUCAUUAAACAAGCUGUGCAGAAGAUUUUAGGAAGCAUUUCUCUUAAACAUUCUUUGUCCCUUUUGGACUUGGAGCAAAAACUAAAAGAAAUCAGAAAUCUAGUUGAGCAGCAUAAAUCUUCUUCUUGGAUUAAUAAAGAUGGAUCCAAAUCUUUAUUAUGCCAUUAUAUGAUGCCAGAUGAAGAAACUCCAUUAGCAGUUCAGGCCUGCGGGCUUUCUCCUAGAGAUGUUACAACUAUUAAACUACUCAAUGAAACUAGAGACAUGUUGGAAAGUCCAGAUUUUAGUACAGUUUUGAAUACAUGUUUAAACCGAGGGUUUAGCAGACUGCUAGACAAUAUGGCUGAGUUCUUUCGACCUACUGAACAGGACCAACAUAGCAACUCCAUGAGUAGUCUUUCCAGUGUCAGCCUGCCAUUAGCUAAGAUAAUUCCAAUAGUAAAUGGACAGAUCCAUUCAGUUUGCAGUGAAACACCUAGUCAUUUUGUUCAGGAUCUGUUGAUGAUGGAGCAAGUGAAAGACUUUGCUGCUAAUGUGUACGAAGCUUUUAGUACUCCUCAACAACUGGAGAAGUGAUUUCUUUUCCUUCAAGAAAAACUACAAUGGAAUUCAUUUACUUGUAAAAAUACGCUGAAUAAAUCAACUAUAUAUAGGUAUUAACCCAGGAUUUCAUCCAAGGAAUAUUUGAGACUGAACAGGUGUGGCCUUAUAAAUGGAUCAAAAUCUGGUCAGCUGAAAAUUUUCACCUGGAGUCCUCUACAUCUGUGGAGUUGUGGCAGUUGAAGAGAUGACAAGGUAUCCCUCACUUUCUGAAAGUUUGUGUUAUGCCACUUCACUUUUAUGAAAGACCUAUAGGAGUUAGUACCUGUUUUUGUAACUGAAGAAAUCUGAAGAGGAUUUUCACUUUUACCAAAAAAGGCAAAAAGUAAAAGUAGCAUUCAAUGUUUGCUUUGCAGAGAGGUGAAUUAGAGGCAGUGCACACCCCAAGCAGCAGCCAGAGUGGCAGCAAGUUCCUUCCCACGCUCAGCAUCUCAGCAUCAAGCUGCCAGAGCUUUGAGCUGUGUCUGUGAGCAUCUGUGCUUUAUCUCAAUUCAUUUUGUGCAUCCAUUAGCAAGAUGUGCUCUAAGGUAUCAGAAGAGCCUAAGAGAGGUUACUUUUGGGGUCUGGGACUAUUCAAAAAAAAAAAAAAACUUCCACAUAAAUUAAUGGUAAUUGCAUCUUUGCUUUACACCAUUUCAGUUUAUGAAAGGUUUCAUAGGAAUGCUCUGCUUUCUGAUAGUGGGGGAAACCUGUACUCUUAUAAGAUAUAAAAGGAACAUAAAUAAAGAUAAUAAAGAUAAAAUCCCCUUACCUUUGUU